UAGAGUUUGAUCCUGGCUCAGGAUGAACGCUGGCGGUCUGCUUAACACAUGCAAGUCGAACGAGAAUCUUCGGAUUCGAGUGGCGGACGGGUGAGUAACGCGUGAGAAUCUGCCUUCAGGACGGGGAUAACAGUUGGAAACGACUGCUAAGACCGGAUGUGCCGAGAGGUGAAAUAUUUAUAGCCUGAAGAUGAGCUCGCGUCUGAUUAGCUAGUUGGUAAGGUAAAAGCUUACCAAGGCUUCGAUCGGUAGCUGGUCUGAGAGGACGAUCAGCCACACUGGGACUGAGACACGGCCCAGACUCCUACGGGAGGCAGCAGUGGGGAAUUUUCCGCAAUGGGCGAAAGCCUGACGGAGCAAGACCGCGUGGGGGAGGAAGGUUCUUGGAUUGUAAACCCCUUUUCUCAGGGAAGAACACAAUGACGGUACCUGAGGAAUCAGCAUCGGCUAACUCCGUGCCAGCAGCCGCGGUAAUACGGAGGAUGCAAGCGUUAUCCGGAAUAAUUGGGCGUAAAGCGUCCGUAGGUGGCUGUUCAAGUCUGCCGUUAAAGACCGGGGCUUAACCCUGGAAAGGCGGUGGAAACUGAACGGCUAGAGUGCAGUAGGGGUAGAGGGAAUUCCCGGUGUAGCGGUGAAAUGCGUAGAGAUCGGGAAGAACACCGGUGGCGAAAGCGCUCUGCUGGACUGCAACUGACACUGAGGGACGAAAGCUAGGGGAGCGAAUGGGAUUAGAUACCCCAGUAGUCCUAGCCGUAAACGAUGGAUACUAGGUGUGGCCUGUAUCGACCCGGGCCGCGCCGUAGCUAACGCAUUAAGUAUCCCGCCUGGGGAGUACGCACGCAAGUGUGAAACUCAAAGGAAUUGACGGGGGCCCGCACAAGCGGUGGAGUAUGUGGUUUAAUUCGAUGCAACGCGAAGAACCUUACCAGGGCUUGACACGUCCGGAACCCUCUUGAAAGAGAGGGGUGCCUUCGGGAACCGGAACACAGGUGGUGCAUGGCUGUCGUCAGCUCGUGUCGUGAGAUGUUGGGUUAAGUCCCGCAACGAGCGCAACCCUCGUCCUUAGUUGCCAUCAUUGAGUUGGGCACUUUAGGGAGACUGCCGGUGACAAACCGGAGGAAGGUGGGGAUGACGUCAAGUCAGCAUGCCCCUUACGUCCUGGGCUACACACGUACUACAAUGCUACGGACAAAGGGCAGCAAGUUAGCAAUGACAAGCAAAUCCCAUAAACCGUGGCUCAGUUCAGAUCGCAGGCUGCAACUCGCCUGCGUGAAGGCGGAAUCGCUAGUAAUCGCCGGUCAGCAUACGGCGGUGAAUCCGUUCCCGGGCCU
rnacentral:rRNA from 1 species